CCAGCAUCUGGAACGAACUUUUCCUGGAAUAUGAGCUGCCUUGGAGAACAGAUGAACUUAGAGAUGCUUAACUCUGAGCAGCCUUAUCAGAAUCUGAAACCUCUGCCAGAUGGAAGAAGUGCAC